CAAACAAAUCAAAAGCAAUUAGCCCAAGCCAGUAUUAGCUGGUACAGAUGUUACAUUUUGUUGGCUUUAGUCCUAUUAGCAUUAAAUUAUUCCUUAAUGCAGUAUUUUACUAAUAUUCUACUUCAAAAAGACUUUAGAUUUAGGAAGAUUGCACCCUCAGGACAUUCCCACAUUGACUAAGAACCAAGAACCAGAACCAGCUGAAGGAUAUAAGAAAGCUUUCACUCCCGUACCUCUCCUUCCUUCACUGCCUUCACCAUCCUAUUUCUCCUCCUUUGUUCUCUCCUAUUUCCUCUCUUUUAAUCAGUAUCCUACUCUCCUUAUCUGGUGCCAAUUUUUAUUUCUAGUAAUUAAGAUGUAUUACCUUCUCUAUGGCUUUCCCUCUACAUUUUCCCACCAUGGAAACAAAAUUUUGUUGCACAAGUUGCAAGAAAUGGCACAUAGUCAUCAAAGGUGCAAGUCAGUCAGAAAGAUUUUGAUUCCUGUUACAUUCUUAAGAUGCCUUAACUUAUUCAAGCAAACAGCGCAGUUCUUUUGUCAGAAAGUCAAUCUGGAAAGACAUGAUUUGGUAAAGCAUCUAAGGUUUCCUUGGUUCCUUUUUAUCACAUCUUGUUCAGAGAGGUGAAACAAGCAGCUUGUCAUUUAUUUUCCGUUUGUUGUAUCUAGGCAAAUUUUCUCAUUCUAGAUGCCUCAGAGCAAUCUCAAACACAUAGAUCUCUUAUAUCAACUUUUCUUGUACACUAUUGCCAUACCUAAGCACUUUUCUACUCCAUCCACCUUAAUUCAUGGUACCUCAUAAAUUCGUUCAAUUAAGAUAGCAAUCUUCGUUGUUCUCAGAGGGUGUCUUCCUGCAGCUUGUUAGGAGUGCAACAAGCCAUCUAGAAGUGUUGACUUAUUUGUUAUGAUUUGAUUUGAUUACAGAUUCUAGAUAUAAAUUAGAAUCCUUAAUUAUCUCUAUAAUUAUUCUUUAAUUAUUUGCUUCCUAUUUAGUUGUAAUUCUUUGUAUAUAAGUAGUCAUAUAAAUUAUUUGUAAAGAUCAAGAGUAAAACACAAGAACACUCUAAAAUUCUCUAAAUUUCUUCAUGGUAUCAUAACUUUUUCCUGAUUUUAGGGUUUACAUUCAAUUUUUCCUCUUUAGAGUUUCAAAAUCCUUGUUGAAUCCCACAUCGGUUGUGGAAAGAGGUAAUGUGCCCCUUGUAUGGGCCAUAGGCACUCCUCCCCCUUGAGCUAGCUUUUGGGGUGAGUUAGGCCUGGCCCAAAUUUAACAAUCCUAAAUCUACCUUUUUGGAACUACCCUAUCUAGGACCUUUUCACAUCUCAUCGCCGACACCAGGAGGAUCGCCCGACCAUUCGCCGGCCAAACCACCUAGCUCCAAUGCUGGAAAGUCACGCAUGUGAGCUCAUACACCCUCCCUUCCCGGCGCGUGAGACACCGUUCGACACUACUUCACCGCUUCGAUCACUCCGACGCCAAUUCUGACCCUCUUUCCGGCCUUCCCGUGCCGCUGCCUGGUCUUUUGAUAAUUUGGUUGGGCUCUCUUGUGUGUACAACCUUGAGCACCUCCUAUUCUUUUACGGUUCAUUUGUUUUACCACAAUAGAAGGUAAAAAGGUCUCAAUUCCUAACUUUGAUAAUUCUUCCUUGGAAAUUAGUCCCGUAAAACUUGAUAGAACCAAUUUUCUUGCUUGAUUAAGGUCUUGUAUGUUGUUUAUCAAAGUUAGAGGACUGCAGGGCUAUGUCACUGGUAAUAAGAAGCAACCGGAUGAGAAUGAUCCAGAUUUCCCUCAAUGAGACUCGGAUAAUUGUCUGGUUAUGACAUAGUUACUUAACUUUAUGCAACCUCAUAUCUCUAAGUCCUAUUUGUUAAUUGAUACUGCUGCAAGGAUAUGGAAAGUUUUGUCCUUAAUGUAUUCCAAGAUUGGAAAUGAUGCCUAAAUUUAUGAUAUUCGAAAUAAGAUCCAUGGUACUAAGCAAGGAGAAAUAAUUAUCUCCCAAUUUUAUUCUGAGUUAUGUGGCUUAUGGCAGGAACUAUCAGGACUUUCAGGCAGACUGUACUGAACAUGUAGUUAAAUUUCGAAAAAUGAUUGAAAAAGAACGGAUCCAUGAUUUUUUUAUAGGAUUGAAUAACGAAUAUGAUCCAAUUCGGGUGGGUCCAAGUGUUGGGGAAAAAUCCUUUUCCUUCUCUAGAAGAGGCUCAUGCUAUGCUCUAUAUUGUACCAGUUGAAAAAGCUGGAUUGACCACUAGUUUGAGCACACCGCAGCCUCCUAAUUUUGAGAAAGAUCACCUGCAUUGUGACUAUUGUGAGAGAUCGAGGCAUACCAAGGAGACUUGCUAGAAGUUUCAUGAUCGUCCCACUAGAGGUCGGGGGGAACAACGAGAUACCUCUAGAACUCAAGCUAAUUUAGCAGAAACUGUAGAAGAGCCCUUUAAAGAGACAACAGCUGCCGAGUUUCUUUCCCCUAAUGAAAUUAAGAGUCUCAAGUGCUUCAAGUGCCUCCUGUCUCAUAUUGACACCUAUUCCACCUCUGAUAUCACAUCUAAUUUUGUAAAGUCAAGUAAUGCUUCUUUUCUUGAUAUUGUUCCAUGAUUAUUGAUUCUGGUGCGAAUAGACAUAUGAUAGACUCUUCUAAAGACUUUCUAAAUUAUUUUCCUUCUCUAACCACAGACAGUGUCAAAAUUGCUGAUGACUCUUUUACUCCCAUAUCCAGAACAGGUUCUGCUAUUUGUGCAUCCAAUAUUAAAUUAUCAUUUGUUCUUCAUGUCUUCCAUUUUCCUGUCAACUUUUUAUCUGUCAGUGCUAUCACCAAUGCUCUUAACUAUAAAAUUGAGUUCUUUCCUGAUCACUGUAUUAUUUAAGAUCUUCUCACAGGAAGAGAAUUGACAAUGGUAGACUGCAUGAUGGCUUAUACAUGUUGAAAAGUGAUUCAGGUUUUCCGAUAUCUCAAAUCUGUUUUGGAGAAAAUAAAGAUGUCAAUCAGGAAAUAUUAUAGCGGCACAGGCGAUUAGGGCAUCCAUAAUUUUUUGUCUUAGAAAAACUUUAACCUAGUUUGUUUGCUAGAACUCAGUUUGGUUUUUUAUUUUGUGAUGCUUGUGAGUAUAUUAAGCACACUAUAAACUUUUAUCCUUUGAAUUAUAAUAAAAGUCAAAUUCCUUUUUGAUUAUUCAUUCUGAUCUUUGGAGGCCUAUUCAAACCGUCUCCUUAUCUAAUAAUCGAUGGUUUGUCACUUGUUACCCUUAUUGAUUGUUGCAGUCGAAUGACUUGGAUGUACUCAGUUUGAUACAAAGGUAAAAAUUUUGAGAACUGACGGUGAAAGAAAAUAUAUGAAUACUAGAUUUUUUGCUUAUUUGGAGACCAAUUGGAUAAUAUACUAAACUAGUUGUCCUUAUACUAAUGCACAAAAUGGCAUUGUUGAAAGAAAAAACAUGCAUCAACCGGAAGUAGCUCGAUCUCUUAUGUUCAUCAUGAAUCUACGCAAAGCAUAUUGGGGAGAUAUAGCCUUAUCAAUAGAAUGCCCCUCAAAGCCCUUAAUUUUAUGAGUUCAUUGGAGGUUAUAUAAGGAAGGAAUUUAUACAUUGUUCCACCAAAAGUAUCUGGAUGUGUUUGCUUUAUCUAUACUAGGAACGCGAGAAAGUUGGACCCCAAGGCCCAAGGCCCUUAAAUGUAUGUUUGAUGGGUAUUCUCCAAGGAUAUAGGUGUUAUUAUCCCCCAUCUAGGAAAUACUUGGUCAGUAUGGAUGUACCACCCACUCACCUCUUCAAAGGGAGAAUAGUGAGCAAAAAAAGGUGACUCCAAAUUCUGUGAUUCUGAAUGAUAUGCCUCAGCGAGAGAGUUCUAGUAGACAAGGAGAGAUGUCCAAUCAGAGGAGAGAAUUGGACAUUUGGACAAGUCAUAUUUGAGAAGGUAUUCGAAGAGAGAUAAGACAGAAGAAGCCAUUAUAUAGUCUACUUAGAGUCAAGAAUCUUCUCCGAUGUGUUACCUAUAACUCUUGAAUACUCUAAUGAUUUAGAUAAAUCCUUUGCACAAAGAAAAUGUGUCAGAUUUUGUACUAAACACCCUAUUUCUAACUUUGUUUCUUAUGAAUCCUUGUCUCCCUCCUAUAGAGCCUUUGUCUUAUCUAUUUUUUCUGUCUAUUUCACAGGAUUGGAAAGAAGCUCUUGGAGAUCCUAAAUUGAAGGAAGUAAUGAUUGAAUAGAUGGAAACAUUGACCAAAAAUAAGACCUGGGAGCUUGUCACUCUCCCACCUGGGAAAAAACUUGUUGUUUGUAAGUGGAUAUUCACAGUAAAACGUAAAGCUGUUGGCACAAUUGAAUGGUUUAAGGCUAGACUGGUUGCUAAAGGAUUCACCUAAACCUAUAAAGCGGAUUAUCAAGAAAACAGUUACAAAAAUGAACUCAAUCAGAGUCCUGUUAUCUUGUGCAGCCAACUUGGACUGGGACCUACAGUAGUUUGAUGCGAAGACUGCUUUCAUCCAUGGAGAUUUAGAGGAAAAAGUGUUCAUGGAGAUCUCUUCUGGAUUCGUUGAUGAGAAGAUAUAAGGAAAUGUGUGCAGGUUAAAAAAAGCUUUGUAUGGGCUAAAACAAUCUCCCAGAGCUUAGUUUCACAGGUUUAGCAGAAGUAUGAUAUCCUUUGGUUACCAACAGAGUAAUGCUGAUCAACUUUGUUUAUUAAACAUCAUAAGGGUAAGAUCACCCUUCUAAUUACAUAUGUUGAUGAUAUAGCGGUGACAGGUAAUGACAAAUAGGAAAUGACUCAACUAAAAAGGUUGUUGGCUCAAGAAUUUAAAAUCAAAAAUCUAGAAAAACUGUAAUAUUUCCUAGGUAUUGAGGUGGCUAGAUCAGAAAAAGGAAUUUUCAUCUCCCAAAGAAAGUACAUUCUGAAUCUUUUGAAAGAAACUGGUAUGUUGGAGUCUAAACCAGUAGAAUCUCCCAUUGAAAGUAAUCACAAGCUGGAAGCAGGAAUUGGUGAGUCCGUGGAUAUUGGAAGAUACCAGAGAUUGAUAGAAAAGUUGAUUUAUCUCUCACACACUCGACCAGAUAUAACCUGUACUGUUAGCUCAGUCAGCCAAUUCAUACAUAAUCCUCGCGAGACUCAUAUGCAGACUGUACUUCGCACCUUGAGAUGUCUAAAAUCUAUGCCAAGGAAAGAGCUUCUUUACUCGAAACAUAGUCACCUCCAAGUUGAAGCUUUUAUAGAUGCAGAUUGGGGAGGAUCUCUCGAUGAGAGGAGAUCCAUAUUUGGCUACUGCACAGUUGUGGGAGGAAAUCUUGUCACUUGGAGGAGUAAAAAACUUACGAAUGUGUUUACUAAAGGGCUCAAUAAUAAAAUUUACCAUAAUUUGAUUUGCAAAUUGGGCAUGUGCGCCAUCUUUGCACCAACCUGAAGGGGAGUGUUGACUUAUUUGCUGAUUCUAAGGAUAUGAUUUGAUUUGAUUUGAUUAGGAUAUUUAAUUAUCUCUGUAAUUAUUACUUAAUUAUUUGCUUCCUGUUUAGAUAUAAUUUUUUUGUGUAUAAAUAGUCAUGUAAACCAAUUGUAAAGAUCAAGAGUGAAAUAUAAGAAUACUCUAAAUUUCUCCAAAAUUCUUCAAAUCAACUAAAUAAAAUAGAGAAGAGACUGUGAAAGUGAUCAAGAAC
rnacentral:lncRNA from 1 species